rnacentral:rRNA from 1 species
GCUCAACCGGGGAGGGUCAUUGGAAACUGGGGAACUUGAGUGCAGAAGAGGAGAGUGGAAUUCCACGUGUAGCGGUGAAAUGCGAAGAGAUGUGGAGGAACACCAGUGGCGAAGGCGACUCUCUGGUCUGUAACUGACGCUGAGGCGCGAAAGCGUGGGGAGCGAACAGGAUUAGAUACCCUGGUAGUCCACGCCGUAAACGAUGAGUGCUAAGUGUUAGAGGGUUUCCGCCCUUUAGUGCUGCAGCAAACGCAUUAAGCACUCCGCCUGGGGAGUACGGUCGCAAGACUGAAACUCAAAGGAAUUGACGGGGGCCCGCACAAGCGGUGGAGCAUGUGGUUUAAUUCGAAGCAACGCGAAGAACCUUACCAGGUCUUGACAUCCUCUGACAACCCUAGAGAUAGGGCUUCCCCUUCGGGGGCAGAGUGACAGGUGGUGCAUGGUUGUCGUCAGCUCGUGUCGUGAGAUGUUGGGUUAAGUCCCGCAACGAGCGCAACCCUUGAUCUUAGUUGCCAGCAUUCAGUUGGGCACUCUAAGGUGACUGCCGGUGACAAACCGGAGGAAGGUGGGGAUGACGUCAAAUCAUCAUGCCCCUUAUGACCUGGGCUACACACGUGCUACAAUGGGCAGAACAAAG